rnacentral:lncRNA from 1 species
AAGGAUAGAGCUCCUCGUCUCCGUUAGAAACGACCAUCAAAAAGAUACAUCAAUUCAUUAGAAUCAAAAGAGGACAUGAGUUAUCAGAAUUCUUUCUCUUGAAAGAAAGUGGAGAUCAAAGGUAAAACUUCUAGAGAAUGAGAUGAAGGCAGAUGAAAGAAGUUAACAAGACAUUACAUGACUUGAUAAUAUUGCAUGUAUGCAAAAACCUUAUGAAAUCAACUGUGUUCUAGCGACCACUUGUUUUUCUUUUUGUCAUAAUAAUUUUUAUUCUCUUGCAAUGAUAUUGAUUCAUCUGCACCUGACAUCACCUCUGCAUUUGUAGAAGGUGAUAAGAAUAGAGGGAAAUGGAAUAAGUGGCUUUGCCUGCAAUCCCGCAGCAGCAGAAAUGUCCAUUUCCUCUCUCCUGAAUAAUACCACAUUCUCCACUGGGUUCCACAAGUUUCGAGGUAAAAGCAUGAACAUACACGAAGUCACCAUCACUACCCUCACCACCACCACCUUUAUUUCCACCAUAUUCACCCUUUUAAUAGGCAAACUUCCUCUAAGGCUUCCUGAAGUCACCCAGAAAUGCAUUUCCCCAAGAGUGAGUUGUGCUAACAUUGUAUCCUAUGGAACUGUGGGAAGCUACUCAGAUCCUCAACUCUUGGAGUCUUGCUGACUGCGUGUUCCAGGCUCCACAUUUAAGCUCCAGUGAUUGCUGAUGACCCAUGCUAAUAAUUUUAGUAAGUCAAUAGCCAUAGAAACCUACUGACAAAAUGAGUAUUUUAACAGAGACAGUUGUACUUUCUUAAUUUUUAGCAGAAGGGAAUGCAUAUGUAUAAUAUCUAUGUUGCCUUCUAUGUGUAAAAAUAAAUACACAGACA